AAAAAAUGUUUCAAGUAAUAUUUUAAUUUGUUAAAUACGAUUGAGCAAAAUAAAGGAAGGAAGAAACGAGGCUGCAUCCCUUAUCAAUUCAACGAAAUUUGUCGCGCGUUAAAUUUCUCCUUUCCGUUUAAUUAACAAAAAAAAAAAAAAAAAGAAAAAAAGAAAAACGAAAAGCAUAAUAGUAACGAUGCGUGCAUUGAUUUUCGACUCAUCCAUUAUAUUACGAAAGAUAAAUAAAACGAAGGUUCACGUGCAGCACGUUGAAAAAGUUUACAGAUUCUCGUAAACGUUUUUUUAAAUAUACCUUUUUUCGCUCACCAAUACCCGUAAAUAUGACUAUACGUUUAAUUCGAAUCGUUCGAAUAAUUGCACCCGUUCCAGAGUUUCUCUCGGGCGGAGAGUUUAUUAUAAAUGCAACGUAUUUACCUUGGCAAAUUAAAUGUAUCUAGAUGACGACGCGACUUACGGAACAAGUUUGAAAUGAAUCGUUUCGUAUCGUCGAGAACCGUCGAGGCUACAGAUCGUUCAUAAUUCCUUACCGAUCUUCGUGUAUUUACCUCACGCAGUUGUCCAACCCCAUCCCUUCUCGUUUCGAAUUUCCAUAACGUUUUCAUAGGGUUUCGAUAAUAAAGCGGGCGAGAAACGAACGAGAAAAUAUAUAUAUAUAUGUAUAUAAAAUACGUAUAUGUAACACGGCUCGAUGUAGCUGAUUCGGUUUCUCGAAACAUUUCAUCGGUGAAAGCCACCUCCGCCAAUUUUUCAUUCCCCUCGAUUCAAUUGUAAUUUUUUUUUUUUUUUUUCACGUAGACUCGCCACCCGUCGCUGGAAUUUAUUCGUUGGUUCAAAUUUAUCGCGGUAAUUGUAUUGACCGCGAUAACGUUUGUAAUUUUCAUUCGGCCUGAAUACCGAAAAAUAAAAUAUGUCGAAAGGGGUGGAAGCAGAAUAGGGGGAGACGCUUGUGGGUACACGCAUCGAUUUCGAUACGAUUCGACGAUUCUACGUUCUAUGCUCUGUGAUAUUUUAAGCCUGAAAAUUCGAAAUGGUUAUUUAUUCUAGAUUAAUCUGUCGUUAUUAUAAUAUUUUAUCAUUUUAUUUCGAUUUUACGUUCGAUUUUUGGAUCGUUCGAAUAAUCGAACGUAUAAAAUCGUUCAUCGGAUUUUGAUUACUAUUUUGGUAAAUAAUAUUUGUAAAAUAAUUGCAAUUAAUUAUAUUACUUUAUAAUGAAAAAUUUAAAUAUUUUUUUCGUGUGCUAUGCAUAUUUCCAAUUAAGAUAUUUCUAACCAAUUGAGGCAGUUUUUAACUAUUCGCUCAUUAUUUGUCCAUCUCUUUCUAUAAAUAACCUCCUUCGACAAAUCUUCUACCAUCACCUUUUAAUUUUUAUUUUCUAUCGUUAUAUUCUCUUUCCAAUACGUUUUUGUUAAAAUAAUUAGACCGCUUCCAGAUCUCUACUAAAAAUUCAUACAUACAUGAACUUUUACUUUCUUUACUUCUCUAAUAUAAUUUCAAAUAUUGGAACGUAUCGUGAAAAAUGUAAAAGAUGUUAAAUAAGAUAUUUUUAAUUAAGAAGAAUGGAAUGGUACGCGAACGGCGUGAAUUAUUAUCGGCGUAGAUAAAAAAAAACUUUAGAAAUCUGUAAGAAUUAACGGGAGGAGCCGACGUAUCGUAUAUAUUUCCAACAAAAUUAAUAUAUUCCUCCGGCGAAAAACGUGGUGCGACACGGGUAAUGGAGACCGCGUGGGCGUUUGCAUUGGUUCACUUCUCGUACGUAUAUAGAUCCUAUCUAUUGAGUCCUGUGAAUAGCACGGUUACAUUGUCGUAAAGCGUGAACCGGUCUCUGUCUCUUAACGUGCACCUAUAUAUCCCCGGCUAUUGAUACCUAUAUCUACCUGCCUAUCCUCCCUCUUUCUCUCCUCUCUUUCUUUCCAUCGUUUUCAUAUAUACAUAUAUAUAUACUCCAUCCUCUGUCCACGGUGUUUCUCGAGCGGCCGAAAAGAGCGGACAACGGAGGGCGUUAUCCGUGUCUGAGCAGUGAUUUCAACGAAGAAUAUGAGUAUACUGGCGAGGAUAAUAAAACAAGAUUUCUUUUUCCACCCGGAACGGUGGACGCGAUCAGGAUAAUGGAAACCACGUGGGUGUCUAAACUGGAUCGGGUCCACGUUAUACACGUAUUCUUCCUCUGGAAAACGUUCGUUCGCGAAAAGAACGAACCGGUCCCUUCUGUGCCUUAUACUCACCUAACCGCGUGCACUUGUGGAUCUAAGUACUUUAACGUACGUGCACGCAUACCUACAGCUAUUAAUACGUACAAGCAUCUCUGCACGCUCUGCUUUUUCCUUUCCUUUUUCUUUUUUUUGCUAUUCUCUUUUCCCGCGCUCGUUCGUUUCUUUUUUCUCCUCUCUUUUUCCCCUUUUUUUCUUUUCUCCUCCUCCUCCUCCUUCUUCUUCUUCUUCUUUUUCUUUUGUAUUUAUUUCCCCGGUUUCUUCGUUACCCUUCCAUAUAUUCCCUUUUCUAUUUAUUCGAGCGGAGCGGAGGCAAAGCAACGAUUCAUCGAGCGAGCCGCGCGCUGCGGUGGAGAGAUCGUGAAAAAUAAUCGAGAACACUCGCCGCUUAUGAAAUCCCGAUAGUAACCCGAUAAUUCUCGCGGUACUAUGAAUAAAAUCGCAUCUAUUCGAGGCAACCAACGAUUUUCUAAACCUCCACCCUGUCCUCCCGUUUUUCACCCAUCCCCAUUGUCAGAUUCUCCUGGUACGAGGAUUUUUUUUCCCCCCCCUCUUUUUCUCUUUUUCAAACCGCGGCCACGCAGAGGAGCGAUUUUGUUUUUAUCCGGCAACUACCUGUUUAAUAGGGGCGGGGAAGUGCAGCCGCGCUUUUAUUUUCUUUUUUUUCAUCCACGUACCGAACGUAGUUUAGUAUAUACGCGGGCAACUUCGAGUAUGCGAGCGCACGAGGGAGGUAACGGAGAAGGUGGAGAGGAAAGGAGAGAGAUGUAUAUAUAUAGAGAGAGGAAGAGAGAGAAAAGUAGAAUGGUAUAAGCCGAGUACAUCACGGAACUGCAACUGAAAGUGGUUCUAAUAACUAGCAUCAGGCCUGUAAGCAUGUUCACGGCAGUAUUUUAAUGGCGGGAGGUCCUUGAAAGUACCUUGAGGACAGAAAGGAAAGAGAUCCCCCGGAAUGUCACUUGAAGUAUUUUGCGUAUUUCUCACGUCCAUGGAGGAGGACAAUGAACCAACUUCCAACUUUCUAAGCCUUGUACGCGUGCCGGUAGCAAAACAGAAGGAAGAAAAUGAAUUCACCGGUACAUAAUGAAAAUAAGUAUUUUAUAAUUAAUUCCAACGCUCUCCGGAUAGGAAACGAUCCGCCACAAUAUUCUUCUCUUACUAACGCUUCCUGAUAAAAUUGCGGGAUACGUGCAUCACGCAUGAUCCUAAUCUCACCAUUUUCCAUUCAUCAUUUUUGCAACCUAUCAGAAUUAUAUUAAUACCGACAAUUCGCCGACAAAUAAAUUUUGUAUGCUUUAUAUCCGGAGGCGGUAAAAAUUUCAGUAAAUACGUAAUAUAUAUACAUUCAGUAAAUAUGAUAUAAUAUACGCUUCAUUUCAAAAUAAAAUUGUUUGAACACUUUAUGGUGUACGGUUGUGGUUAUUAAUGUAACGUUAAAACUUUAGAAAGCUUUGCAAAUAUGUAUUUAAUUAAAAUAUGUGUUUAUAUGAAUGUAUAUGUGUUUGAUUAAAAUUUUAUAAUUAAUUCCAACAUA